GAUUGAACGCUGGCGGCAUGCCUAACACAUGCAAGUCGAACGGGAGUAGCAAUACUCUAGUGGCGGACGGGUGAGGAAUACGUAGGAAUUUGCCCUUAAGUGGGGGAUAACCCGGGGAAACCCGGAUUAAUACCGCAUGACCUCGAAAGAGCAAAGUGGGGGAUCGCAAGACCUCACGCUUUUGGAGAAGCCUACGUCGGAUUAGCUGGUUGGUGAGGUAAUGGCUCACCAAGGCGACGAUCCGUAACUGGUCUGAGAGGAUGAUCAGUCACACCGGAACUGAGACACGGUCCGGACUCCUACGGGAGGCAGCAGUGGGGAAUAUUGGACAAUGGGCGCAAGCCUGAUCC
rnacentral:rRNA from 1 species